rnacentral:rRNA from 1 species
AUACGAAAGGUGCAAGCGUUGUUCGGAUUUACUGGGCGUAAAGAGAGUGUAGGUGGUUUAUUAAGUCGGAUGUGAAAUCCCGGGGCUCAACCUCGGAACUGCAUUCGAUACUGAUAGGCUAGAGUUUGGGAGGGGUAAGCGGAAUUCCGUGUGUAGCAGUGAAAUGCGUAGAUAUACGUAGGAACACCUGAGGCGAAGGCGGCUUACUGGACCAAUACUGACACUGAGACUCGAAAGCGUGGGUAGCAAACAGGAUUAGAAACCCCGGUAGUCC